AAACAAAUUGUAUAAAAAUAAUAUAAUUAACAAAAUUUCAUAUACAACCUUAAUUUUAAAACAAAUUGCAAUAAUUUUUAAUCUCAAACAAUUCAACUUCUCUUAUCUUUGGUACACGAAAGAUAUUGAUUUUAAAAUUUUGAAUAGGUAAAAGAGUUGGGGACUCAGGUUUUUAGUAAAUAGUAAAUUGAAUUUUUUGGGAAAUUAUUGAAAUCAUACAAAACAAUUAAUAUAUUAUUUGAAAUUAUUUAUGAAAAUUAUAUGUUUGCUGCCUUUAAAAUAAACCAAUUUUUAUUACAUCGGCCAUUAACCGCCAAACAACCAACUACCUCUUCCUAACUAUCAAACAUUAAAUCAAAUCUACGAUCCACCUGACCAUAAUUAUUCAUCUGUUUCCAAAAAUCACUAUAAAUUCCCCAACCCAGAAUCAUUACUCACAACAACAACAAUUCCGAAAAUACCAAAAAUGGAACAGGCAAGAAACCCAUUGGUCCAGUUCCCACCAAUUUUGAAUACAUCAGACACGUCUGAUUUGUCAAGGUGAUUACAUCUCUACAUUAAUUGGUUUAGGGAAAAUGAGAGAUUCUAUUUUGCUCAAUGGUGGUCGACCUCCGUUUCGGCUUCAACGUGGCCUUGUGUGGGAACCUAGUCAUUUACAUGCUCACCUGCAAGCUGCACAUUGCCCUACUCCGUUGCAUCUUGAUAACUACCGGAUGUCGGGUAUGUCUCUCCAAUUAAGAGGUUCAGCCUAGCAAUGACAUUUACCCAUGAGUAGUUAUUCCCCCCGGGGGGGGGGGGUGACAAAUUGCGGGUUCUUCUAGUGGUCGAUUACAUCAUGCAUGGAAUGUUGAAGAUAUGGCAACGUUCAGUUGAUUAUUCUCAAGUCAUCCAACCAGAGGUUCAACAGGAAAGUAGUAUAGAUUUUAUGAGGCAGCACUUGUUUGGGUCGGCAUAUAGUCCCACACUGACCGCUAUGAUUGAUGCAUUUCGGUUUUUAGGCGCAAACUUUUAACAAGUUCGUUGACAUGUAUGACUUUAGUGUUCUUGCCAACGAUCCAUGUGUGAUAUCGUUACUUCAAUCGACUCAACCAAACUAAACUAAAAAAAAAAAUAAAGGCAUAGGGGAUGACUCUAAGGAGAAGGGUAAUCUGAACCAACGUUGUGAGCAACCACGUUUUCGUAGGCGACCACCACGACAAAGAUAUACGCCUAGAAGUACUCUGUUCAGCCACAGGGAAACAUUUAUUUAUAUGGAGCAUAAAGUUAUAUUUGAUAGGUUAUGGAGAUUUGCAGCGAGGCAUGAUACAGAGAAGGUUUGGUAUGAAAUAUUUGUUAAAUAUUUUGUUAUGAGUACUGUAUGAGAAGGUGCAAAGAGAAUUAUCCAGCCUGUUACGGGCAAUAAUAUUUGCAAAACCAUUUGGGAAACUCCAAGAUUUCCUUGAAUGAGUAAUUUGGUCCUUAAUGAAUUAUUAGAAGAUUUUAUAGAAUCGGUACCAACACAGGUUGAAGAAGGUCGAGAACCAAAUUUCUCAUCUAAAGAAAUCCUAGAGUUUUUCAAAUGGGUUGGCGGAUAUUAUUGUUCAUAACAAGCUAGGCAAAAUUUUUUUUGCACUUUUUUGUGCAAUACGUGUAACUAAUGGAAAGUGUAUGGUAAGUUGAGUAAUUGAAGGCAAGAAAGGCAUUUUGAAAUAUACCCAUUGUUGAAGCAUGUACUAGCCACCUAUGGAUUCUAAGCACAUCUCCCAAUACAAUGAUGUAGGGGAUACCUUUCGAACAACUCUAGGCAAACAUUGUUCAUGUUCGAACUUGAUUCUUCGAUUACAGGUUAUCCAUGAACUAGAAGAACAAGCUGUAUAUCAACAUAUUCCAAUGUAAUGGUGCACUCACCACACAACUAUUGAAAUGUAUGUCUCAGAUCUUCAUUGUUCCACUAAUGCAGCUAAUAAAUCUGGAUAGAUUGUGGAGCUUCUGAUCAACACUGUGUACUAGAAAUCGACUUCGUCUAGGUAUGCAUGGACCCUCGAGUCAAUAUCACCUAAAGAGCCAUGAUGCAACCUGCUCCGGACUGAUCAACUCACUUGCUACAUACAAUUUAUAUAACACGUGUUAGUGAACAAAAAAUAUAUUAUGUUAAAAUCAAGUCUGUAAUAUUUACUAUUUUCAAUAUUUCAUCAAUACAUGCUAAAGCUGUAGCAAUGUUAUUUCCCCAAA